CCUCAUACUGGAUUUCUAACCAUGCUCUUUCAUUUUCUUGAUGACAACAUGAUACAGGAUUAUAUGAAGGACAUGCUUCUAUAUAGUGAAGCACCACUUAAUGAUGGGGAUACCUUCUCAGAAGUGUGUCCUUAGGAGAUUUCAUCCUUGUGCAAACAUCAUAGAAUGUACUUACCCAAACCUAAAUGAAACAGCCUACCACUACACACCUAGGAUAUAUGGCACAGCCAAUUGCUCCUAGGUUACCAGCCUGUACUGCAUGUUACUGUACUGAAUACUGUAGACAGUUGUAACACAAUGUAAGUAUUUGUGUAUCUAAAAAUAGAAAAGGUACAGCAAAAAUACAGUGUUAUCAUCUUAUGGGACCACCAUCAUGGAAUGUUGUUAUGCAGCACAUGACUGUAUUUCUAAAGUGUGUAUUAGUGGUUUAAGUUGAUCUUUGAGCUAGCAGUCCAGUUACCCAGCUAUACCCAGCUGUGCAUUGUAUCAUCCGGGGCCCCAGCGACAGCACUGAUUGUUAAUUUAUUGUGGCUGCUAUGGGCUGAAAGGCAACCUGUGCAGGAAGGGUAUGCAGCAUAGGGGAGUGAAUUGGAUGUACCUGGAGGAAAAUGGACUGUUUUGUGUCUUUUGCUGUCCACGGUCAUUUGCCAGCCAUUUGCCUACCUGCCUCCCACAGAUAAGUAAUUCAUGGCAAUGUUUAUUAUUGAUAAUAAUGGCAGUUAUUCAUAUAAUAACAACAGUUAUUGUUAGUGGUGAGAAACAGUAAAUAUUUACAAUGAAUGGUAACUGUUUAGAUGGGUGGCUGGAGGAAAUAAGUAUAAAAGGUGAGAAUGGGUAGAGUAGUGGAGGAGAUAAGGGGAGAUGAUGCCAAAGGCAUACUCCAGAGAUGUCCAAGCAGUGUUGGAAUCAUCCCUGUACUGAGCCAUGGGCAAGCUGAAAAGUUACUACAUCUGAGUAUGGGGAAACUUCUUUUUUCAUUUAUUUUCCCUUUCAAAAAGGAAUAGAACCAACUCUUGGCGUUAAUCAAUAAACUAACAUUAUUUUUGCUGCUGCCUUUCUCAAAUGACUUGUGAGAUUAAAUCAUUUGAGAAAAGCAUCAAAAAUAAUGUUAGUUAUUGUCUUGUCCCACUGUUUCUUUUUCUUUACUUUUUCUAUCCUUCCUAAGGACAAUGUCACAUGUGAAAGUGUAAAUUAAAUACAUAAAUAUCAAAUUUUGGGAAAGUUGAUGAUAGGAACAUGUGGUCUUUAUGACUAAAGGAGGCACCCAGAAAUGUGUGUCAUGAGGGAAAAGAGUUACACUGUUUAUCAUCUCAUUAAUCUUAUGUACUCUGUGACAAAUAGCCUUGCUGUUGCUUUUCAGCUUAUUGAAGUACUUACUGAUGCAUGCUUUGAAAACUGGUGGCCGAGCAUGGUGGCUCACGCCUGACAUCCCAGUACUUUGGAUGGCUGAGUUGCAGGUACAGCCUGGCACCCACUGGUCAGAAUAUUCCAUUGAGUGGCAAACUUUCAUCUUGGGGAAAUGAAUUUUAUUUUUAAAAGCAUUCAAAGCCACUUUCUGCAAGUUUGGGUGAUCAACCUGGAAAAUGCUAUGUUGAACAAAAACAAGAUGUCACUAUUAAAAAAAAUGAGAUUGA